rnacentral:rRNA from 1 species
CCCUACGGGACGCAGCAGUGGGGAAUAUUGCACAAUGGGGGAAACCCUGAUGCAGCGACGCCGCGUGAAGGAAGAAGUAUUUCGGUAUGUAAACUUCUAUCAGCAGGGAAGAAAAUGACGGUACCUGACUAAGAAGCCCCGGCUAACUACGUGCCAGCAGCCGCGGUAAUACGUAGGGGGCAAGCGUUAUCCGGAUUUACUGGGUGUAAAGGGUGCGUAGGUGGCAGGGCAAGUCAGAUGUGAAAGCCCGGGGCUCAACCCCGGUACUGCAUUUGAAACUGUCCAGCGGGAGUGCAGGAGAGGUA